rnacentral:rRNA from 1 species
GACGAACCGUGCGAACGUUGUUCGGAAUCGCUGGGCUUAAAGGGCGCGUAGGCGGACCAUCAAGUCCGGGGUGAAAUCCUCCGGCUUAACCGGAGAAUUGCCUGGGAUACUGGUGGUCUUGAGGGAGGUAGGGGCACGCGGAACUUCCGGUGGAGCGGUGAAAUGCGUUGAUAUCGGAAGGAACGCCGGUGGCGAAAGCGGCGUGCUGGCCCUCUUCUGACGCUGAGGCGCGAAAGCCAGGGGAGCGAACGGG